UACGCAGGGGGCGAGCGUUAUCCGGAUUCACUGGGUGUAAAGGGAGCGUAGACGGCCAUGCAAGCCAGGGGUGAAAGCCCGGGGCCCAACCCCGGGACUGCUCUUGGAACUGCGUGGCUGGAGUGCAGGAGGGGCAGGCGGAAUUCCUGGUGUAGCGGUGAAAUGCGUAGAUAUCAGGAGGAACACCGGUGGCGAAGGCGGCCUGCUGGACUGCAACUGACGUUGAGGCCCGAAAGCGUGGGGAGCAAACAGG
rnacentral:rRNA from 1 species